AUUUGCAGUGAUGGUAGUUUUAUAGCAGCUUAGUUGUUACAGCUCAUAGUAUUAGAGCGGCUUCCAACUGAAAGAAAAAGAAACAUUGAAGCAAGUGGAAAAGCUUUGUGCAUCGUAGAGCCUGAGAAAAAAAGCCAAGAACAAGAAGGAGACCAAGCGUGGAGCAAUGAUAUCGGCACCAUCGGUGUCAUCAUCAGCAAGCAAAGAACAACUUUAGAAAGAAAAGGCAGACUGAAUCUAAAUUGCUCCUCUGUACACCUGUAACUUAUUUUAUCUAAUUAUACCUGCGCUGACUCCAUUUUGUGUACAGCUAUAGUCAGCGAAACAACUGGAUCUUUUGGGAACUGGAGAUUAUCGUUCUCAUCAAUAGUGCUAUCUCCUACAAUUGAGGACCUGUCCAUCCAAGCCAGCCAGUUAAUUUUGGGUACGAUUAUGGGGCAAUCCUACCAAAAUUUUGCUGCCAGACUUGGAUGGAGUAUUUUUAUCAUUCAUGUCUACGAUUAUACAUCAGUAAUUCCCACAAGAAACUAAAAGAAUCAAGUC